GGCAUCUGUAUCCGUCCCAAACCAAUAUAAUCCGACAAACCGAUAUGCUGGAAUCAUGGACUCAUUUGGUUACGCAUCGCUAGAAGCAGAAAAUAUCUAUUACUCUUUGAAAACAACACAAAUUUUUAGAAAAUGAAUAACGACCACGUGCUUAGAUACCAUUGACACACACCCCUACAGCAGAAGACCAUGAACCAUCCUUUUGACAGGUCAGCCAUUUUCUUCCCUGUAACUUCCUACCAGGUUGACAAGAAAAUUGGACCGUGGCGCCGAUUUCGUACGUCGAAUUCUCGGGGGUUAUAUAACCAUAGGAAGGUAUCCCAGGAUGGCUGCAAAGCAUUUGACCUAAAUCGAGCAGUCUUUCUUUGAAUAAUGAGGAGCUGAGUGAGACCAAAUUCCAUUUUCCAUACAGGUGAUUUCAUAUUGUCCCAAUAGUUGGAAAUUACGAUUGCAAGCAAAUUUCACAACAUCUCCGACGAAAUGGCUACUGCCACUGUCUUUAAUUCUAAACAAAAAUAUGUGUUAGUUUGGGUAUUGAGACGUGUUUGCUAUGAAAUCAAAAUACCGGCCAUUUAACGGGGGCAGUAGCUCAGGGCAUUCAACAACUUCAAAAAUUAUUAAUUUUUAAUUUUUUUUUUUUUUAAUACGGCUUCAGUUUAAUUGACGUGCGAAAAUACCUUGGCAUGAAGGAGGAGCUGGAUACCAAUCCAUAUUUUGCUGGCAAGUCGCAUUGUUCAGUCCAAUAAGUUGGUAACCGGGUGGGCAAGAAAACUUAACCUAUCAUACAAGGUUAAGUAAUACUUAUAGUAGAAAAGCACAAAAUGUUUACCAUCGCCUUAUACCCCACUCCGUUAAGGAAGUCAAACUCCAAUCGGGGAUCAGCACCAUCCAUAUCGUAGGGACACUGAAUUAAUUCGCAAACAGGCAGUCUGUUCUCCGACCAUAACCCUAUUUAAUAAAAAUAAUAAUAGUGAUAAUGGUUUUUAAAUCACUGUUCAUAAAUUUUUGUACCAGAAGUUAAGCAUUCGCUGAAAUUUGACCCUAUCAAUUGGUAUCCUUCUAAACAAAAAAAAACCAUUCUUUGUCCAGCAUAAUUUCCUUCGAUUACGGCAUGUAGCGGCGAUUCAACCACAGGAGGUGUGGGGCAUUGGAUUGCUAAAAUAAAAUACAAAGAUAAACCAAGAACAUUUAGAUUAUAGGUUAGUAUAUUGCGUAAAUCUAAAGAAAGAAAUUUUUUGUCAAAAUGUGAUGCUAUAAUUUAUCAAAAUGGGAUGCUAAAUAAGUCAAAAUGUGAAAGAAGAGGUAGCCUACUGCCAUUUCCGUUAGAUUUGUUUAAAGCAAAAUUGUUCUUGGCCUAACUGCAAGAUUUAUAUGGAACCAAAUAUCCGCAAAUAUCAUACAUAGGCUACACUGCCGCGAUAAGCAGUCUAUACUUAUAAUUACGGCAUAAUGAAUCGUUUUACUACUCAAGAAUUUUUGAAAAAUAGGAGUGACAUGCAGUUUCGUUCGACUCGUAACAACUGGCCUUUUAGUUGAAUGAUAUUACGGGGCUGCUUUUCGUACUGAAACAAUAACGGGUUACGUCCACUGCGUAAAAGAAAGUAGCUAUGACAAUAAUAAAAUUUGAUUGCAACUCAGUUUUGGGGACAGUUUUCAAACGACAUUCUUCCCUGACGGUUCCCUCAAUCGCGGAAAUAUUUUCUGCAAAAAUUGCUGUUUGCAAUUUACAAGGAAGCAAAAAAAAUUAACCAGCAGAAAAUUACAAUAAAUUGCUUACUUUGAACAACGAUACGUAUACUAUUGUUAUGCCCACGAGGAGUAGUACACGUGUAUUCGCCUUCAUCGCGCGCUUGAAUGGAGAAUAUUGAAAUCCGGAACCCUGUUCACAAUUGAUUUAUUAAUAAAAAAAUGUUGUGUGUAAAUUUUGCUGAAAAUCAUACUUACGCCACAGCCUUUCUUCACGAGAUAUUGCCCAACCUAAACAACGUUUUGAUGAUGAACGACUUAUUUUACUAUGACAGAAUAGAACGAUAGGUCAGAAGAAAUUAAGGUAAGUAGGACGUUCGGUUAGAAACUAAUGGUAUAUGAAUUGUCAAGACAAUUUAGAGAAAUCAAACCGAACGGAUGGCUCCUGUUAAAAUUAUUGGAUUUUUUCCAAGUCCACUGAGGAUUUCCCAAUUUUCUGUAGAAUAUACAGUCAAGAUGUACGACACUUCCUGGACGAACAACCCUUUCAAUAACAACAAGGAUGAUCCCGUUGGAACAUUCGUUUUUAUCGUUGGCGGAUGAUCAUCUAUAAUAUUCCAAUUGAAAUUUGCUAAUCAAACUGAAGACGAUUAAAGAUGUUGUAAAUGUCUAACUUAGUUUUUAAUUUGCUAGACAAUUAAUCAGAAUCAAAGAAGACGAUCCUAUAUACGUGCACUUCUUAAUUAUAAUCGAAGAGAAACGGUUUACCAAUAAAUGCGGAAAGGCCAUCGGAAGGUGUCGUUGGAAGACCUAUGCAGACAAAUGUAAAUAAGUCAUUAAAGCAGAAUAUUUUAUUUUUUUACAUGUGGGGAGCUUGUCGCUCCAUUUUCCAUGGUAGCAUUGGAUUGAGACUGCGCCCAAUAAUUUCAUUUUGCCAAGCACGGGACAUCGGGCUACGAGAGUUGUACCGUGGGGAAUAACGGCAUUUGCCUGUUAAAAAGAUUACAAUCAUGGAAAUUUAACAUGCAAGGACUGGAAUAGGCCUACUAUACGUAGGCAAUUGAUUUUUUAUCUUGCUCCUCGCUGGAUAUGGUUAAUGAAAUUCAAAUCAAUAUAUGUUGAAAUAUUUACAUUUA